rnacentral:lncRNA from 1 species
GUCUUUGUGCUGCCUGCUCUGUGUUCCUCCCUUGACUCAAAGUCCUUUCCAUUUCUACUGCUGGAGAGUUUACCAUGCAAAUCCUGCAAUCUGGGUAGAAAGCAAUUUAUGCAAGUAGGCUCCAAAGCUUGGUAUGAGGCCAAUGCCACACGAGCAGGCGAGGCUCAGAGUGUCCAGUCUUAACCAUUGCAAAAGAUCAAAAGUGUGUCUGGAAGUGGUGGGUUCUUGGUCUCACUGACUUCAAGUAUGAAGCUGCGGACCCUUGCGGCGAGUGUUACAGUUCUUAAAGAUGGUGUGUCCAGAGUUUCUUCCUUCUGGUGGGUUCGUGGUCUCACUGGCUUCAGGAGUGAAGCUGCAGACCUUUGCGGGAUGCUUGGAGCCAUUGUUGUCUGGAGGGAGGACUGACUUAUUUCCAGAGAUUCCUGGAGACACUGCUGGAACCUUAGCCAAAUCAGAAUAAGCUCAACUAACUGGUGACAAAUAUUCCUGUGCUAGGACCUGAGACAGGCCAAGUGAGAGAUCUGUAGUAGUUUAUUAGCUUUGUUCAUUAAAAAAACAACAAAAAAUUCCAGAUUGGUGUUUUUUACCUAGUUUCUACUAUGUUCUCUUUGUUUCUUCUGUUCGCUUUUG